rnacentral:pre_miRNA from 1 species
UCUUUUGGAUGAACAAAGGAAAUGGUUUCUUGAGAUGUAAUCUGCUACUGGUGAAAAUGCUGUGAA